rnacentral:rRNA from 1 species
UACGUAGGGUCCGAGCGUUGUCCGGAAUCAUUGGGCGUAAAGAGCGUGUAGGCGGCUUGAUAAGUCGGCUGUGAAAGUCGGGGGCUCAACCCUCGAAUGCCGGCCGAUACUGUCAAGCUAGAGUCCGGAAGAGGCGAGUGGAAUUCCUGGUGUAGCGGUGAAAUGCGCAGAUAUCAGGAGGAACACCAAUGGCGAAGGCAGCUCGCUGGGACGGUACUGACGCUGAGACGCGAAAGCGUGGGGAGCAAACAGG